rfam:Burkholderia cenocepacia J2315 chromosome 1, complete genome
GUCAGAGAAUAUGUUGUGCGUGUGUGUGGCGUGUUCGUCCACAAGCCGUUUGGCGGAAUUCUACCCUGUUCGAUAGGGGAGCGCGCAGUCGUGAUUGUGUCGAACCGUAACCCACUAUAGACGUUCCGGCGCAUUUU